rnacentral:rRNA from 1 species
CCUACGGGUGGCAGCAGUGAGGAAUAUUGGUCAAUGGGCGAAAGCCUGAACCAGCCAAGUCGCGUGCGGGAAGAAGGCCCUAUGGAUUGUAAACUGCUUUUGUACGGGAAUAAAGAGACUUACGUGUAGGUGUUUGCAUGUACCGUAUGAAUAAGGACCGGCUAACUCCGUGCCAGCAGCCGCGGUAAUACGGAGGGUCCGAGGGUUAUCCGGAUUUUUUGGGUUUAAAGGGUGCGUAGGCGGCAUAGCAAGCGUGAGGGUAAAGGGUGGGGCUCAACCCUCGCCCGGCCGUGCCAACUGACGUGCUUGAGUGCGCGAGAAGUAUGCGGAAUGCGUGGUGUAGCGGUGAAAUGCUUAGAUAUUACGAAGAACCCCGAUGGCGAAGGCAGCUUGCUGGAGCGGAACUGACGCUGAUGCUCGAAAGCGUGGGUAUCGAACAGGAUUAGAUACCCCUGUAGUC